rnacentral:rRNA from 1 species
UUAGGAAUAUUGCGCAAUGGGGGAAACCCUGACGGAGCAAUACCGCGUGAGGGAGGAAGGCUUUUGGGUUGUAAACCUCUUUUCUUAGGGAAGAAGAUCUGACGGUACCUAAGGAAUCAGCAUCGGCUAACUCCGUGCCAGCAGCCGCGGUAAUACGGAGGAUGCAAGCGUUAUCCGGAAUUAUUGGGCGUAAAGCGUCCGCAGGUGGCUCUUCAAGUCUGCUGUCAAAGACCAGAGCUCAACUCUGGGCAGGCGGUGGAAACUGGGGAGCUAGAGUACGGUAGGGGUAGAGGGAAUUUCCAGUGUAGCGGUGAAAUGCGUAGAGAUUGGAAAGAACACCAGUGGCGAAGGCGCUCUACUGGACCGUAACUGACACUCAGGGACGAAAGCUAGGGGAGCGAAAGGGAUUAGAUACCCCCGUAGUCC